AGUCGACGAUUAAAGCUCCCUUCGGGGAGUGCAUAAAGUGGCGCACGGGUGAGUAACACGUAAGUAAUCUACCCUCGGGUGGGGAAUAACAUCGGGAAACCGAUGCUAAUACCGCAUAAUGCAGCGGCACCGCAAGGUGACAGUUGUUAAAGAUUUAUUGCCUGGGGAGGAGCUUGCGGCAGAUUAGCUUGUUGGUAAGGUAACGGCUUACCAAGGCGACGAUCUGUAUCCGGUCUAAGAGGACGGUCGGACACACUGACACUGAAUAACGGGUCAGACUCCUACGGGAGGCAGCAGUCGGGAAUUUUGGGCAAUGGGGGAAACCCUGACCCAGCAACGCCGCGUGAAGGAUGAAGUAUUUCGGUAUGUAAACUUCGAAAGAAUAGGAAGAAUUAAUGACGGUACUACUUAUAAGGUCCGGCUAACUACGUGCCAGCAGCCGCGGUAAUACGUAGGGACCAAGCGUUGUUCGGAUUUACUGGGCGUAAAGGGCGCGUAGGCGGCGCGGUAAGUCACUUGUGAAAUCUCUGAGCUUAACUCAGAACGGCCAAGUGAUACUGCAGUGCUAGAGUGUGGAAGGGGCAAUCGGAAUUCUUGGUGUAGCGGUGAAAUGCGUAAAUUUCAGAGGAACACCUGAGGUGAAAACGGGUUGCUGGGCCAACACUGACGCUGAGGCGCGAAAGCCAGGGGAGCAAACGGGGAUUAAAUACCCCGGUAGUCCUGGCCCUAA
rnacentral:rRNA from 1 species